CCGUUAUGAGGGGGUGCAUCGCGUGCAGUGGGACCAGACGACGAAUAAUUUCUCGCUUAAGCAACGAUUCCCACUAAGAGCAAAAAAAUGUGAGCAGUUAAGGUGAAAGCACGAUAUCAUGUCAACACUUGGUCCAGGAAAGUUAUUACCACACUUGGAAAAUUAAUUUUGCCAACGAAAAUAGAACCUUUCCUUGGCGAGGAGAAUAACAUUAUCGUCAUAUAUUUUUAUUAGGGAUAACCUAUCCUGCUGCAUAAAAUAUGCAUUUUCAGGUGAAACUUGCAUAUUUCAAGAGGCUACUCUACUGCGUUCAUGUUAUUAAUUUUUUGCGUGAGUUCGUUCGCGAGUGGAUUUUACACCUACUUUAAGGUGAAACUGUGUUGAAGCCACAAACGGCCGACUUUGAGUCACCACUUCGAAUUUUCAAAAGCACAAGACUCAGAAAUAUUUAAUGCGUUCCCUGUGAAAAUGCUAUUUAAUGUUUGCUUCACCACAGCAAACAUAAAGUAGUGUUUUCACAGAAGACGCAGUGAGUCUUGGCCUUUGGAAAUUUGGAGUGGUGGCUCGAAGUCGGUCAUUUGGGGCUUCAACACAGUUUCACAUUUUCAGACACUAGGAUUUUUAAUAUGAGAAAAAAAACUCACCAUUUCGCAUGUUGUCACACUUAUUGUGAACUAGUUUCGUUUACAUCGAAUAAGUUUAGCAAUGCGGUUGGUGUCAAUAUUUUUUUCGAACUAUUUUAUAUUUUUAUAACAUUAAUUUCCUUGAUAUUUUUACAGUUUUCAGCACAAAAAAGUGCAACAUAUAUGAACGCAACUCUGAAAUCCCAGUGAAAGAAGUGUUUGAUCGGAAAUGGAACCAAACAGUAAAGGUUCACGUUUUAGCCUUUUACGUUAAAAAAAUCCGUUUUGGCGCAAAAAGGCCGUUUAAAAAUUAAUCGCUUCCCUGAUUAAAUUUUUCCCCAGUUGUUUUUCAGUUUUCCUUGAUUUUCCUCAUUGAAAAAUGAAUUCCCUGAUAUUCCCUGCUUUUCGAGGUUUUCUACACCCUGUAUAAUUAGCUCCAGUUGGUCCACCUCGUUCGCCAAUGGGUGCACAUAUUUUUAGAGAAGUUAAAAAUUAAAUAUUUUUAGCAUGCUAUAGCUUUAAAUGUUCUCCCAGAACCUCCUACAAACAGCACAGGAAACAGCUAGGAUUUUCAUAUAGUGUUCAAAUUUCGACCACCAUCUUCAAUUUACCGACAUCUAGAAUUUGUUCAGCAAAACGCGUCUUUAAACAAGUUGGUAACCAUCGAUUUUAAUUUUGAAACCGUCAUUUGAAAACUGAAAUAAAAAAUCCUCAAGAUACAUUAAGAAAUUUAGUUGUGAUGACUAAGGGGACCCUGCUGUACCAGCUACUAAUAUCUCCGAUAGUGAAAUUGCUACCCGAAACGAAAGUGGAACUGUCAGGCGGGCAGAAGCAACAGACGAUUGAUAGAAAACCUACUGCAUACACGUCGAAGUGAAUUUGCGAACCAAUCGUUGGAGUUUAGAAAGUUAAUUAUAGCUAUAUAAUCAAAAUUUGUUUUUUUUUUAUUCUCGCUCAUUUUCCGUCGGUCUAGUUCCGCCACUGUUGUUGUGCCAAUCACCGACGCCCAGGGAGGCGACUCCACCCAGGACCCUAACUAACGACCCGUUUAUUAACGGACCGGCGCCAACGGCUUUACUUCCUCAUGCGAUGGAAGGCGUGAUCCCAGAGAUUUUUCGCCUCAGAAAAUCUCCCGGUGCCGGCUAGGAUUGAAUCUAGACCAGUUGGGUUGGUUGUGAGUGGAUCACGCCACCUCACAACCAUCGACACCUAUGUCGGCGGUGGGAUUCGAACCCCGUCAUUAAAUAGAAUUAAAAUAGAUUCACAUAUAGGAUUGAGUUACGAAUACGUGAGUAAAAAUAAAUUAUAUAUAAAUCAAACCUAACAAACUGUGUCUGAGCAGGGAUUUGUGCGAAAGUGGAGAAAAAGGAGAACUUUGCCUGUAAUUUUGUAGUAAAGACCGAUUUAUGUAAGUUGCAAUAAAUAAUAUAAAAAAAUCAAUUAAAAAUAAAUAUUUCACAGCUAAAAGCUGCAU